UACCAGUGAGCAAAAAUAAUAAUUAGCAAUUGAAGGUUGUUUCUCUAAUUAUCUUUGCAACACAUCUUUAUUUAUGUUUACCACAAUGUUGUAAAUAAAACAAAAUAAUAUAUAAAAAACCAGUCAUGGGUCUUAUGACCCACUCUAGCCUGCUAAAGCAUAGCCUCUGAGAACUGUUUCAAACGCAGCGGUGACGGCGUAAGUAAAAUGGGCUUGCAGUACAGAAAAAAAGCACAACCUUCGAGACUCACAAUUACUUUCACGGUCGUUUGCGGUUUUGAUGCUCGUAGUACAGUGGUUGGUUUGUGGCUUUCGCAUUUACUUCGACUUUGGAUACGCAACUGUGAAAAGCGCGGCAGCGGUAGCAGCGGUUAGUCCUCAGAAUCCGAAACCACGGCGGCGGUUCUUUAUUCCAUGAUGGCGGCAAGCCUGCGACCGUCGAAACGCGAGUGGGAUUUUCCUCUUGCGUCCGUUGCGCCUGUGAUACCCGACAACUGUAGCAGCAUGUCAUCUGAUCCGACUUCAACUGAAGGCUCGCCGACUGAUGCGGAAGCAUUUUACUUCGUUUCGCAUGGGCCACCAAAGAAAAUUGUGAAGUUCACAGGCGCCCGGAAGCUCGCCGACCUUCACGAAAGUGUGCGGAUGGGUGGGUUCGCGCACCGGAUGACAUGCAACGAUCUCCUAAUACAGCAUGCUGGAAGCUGCACAGGGGAGUUGGCAAGGGGGCACAAGGAAGCAAUGCCCCGUUGCUGUCCGUAGGGUGAACGCAAGGCGGCUCGUGGCAGCCGCAAUUUCUACGCUGCGCUUUUCAUCUCUGAAGCCAUGCGCAGCAGCGUGCAGUCGUCAUGUUUAGAAAAGCAGUGCAAAGGUACCCGAAUAAGCUGUACAACAUUGCUGCAAGGUGCCUUGGUAAACCAGUACCCAGCCCUGAGGAACAGAUUGGACUCUGGCUAUAUGCAAAAGGCGUGAGCGCCAUCAUGGUUGUACCAUUUCUUGUCAAUGAGCAAGGGGACGACAUGUUCACAAAAAUGACGCCAGGACAGGAGUUUGCCCACGCCACAUUGCUGUACACUGGCGACAACCGCAUCUCUUCCAAGGCCCUGUGUGUGAAGUGUGGAUAUGUAUGUGUAGAUGUAUUGGACUUCACUUCCGGUGUAACGGGGUUAUUUUUAUUUUCCAUGUACUGGGGC